rnacentral:rRNA from 1 species
AUGUUCCCGCGGUCAUCCACUGCACCGCCAACAUCCUCUCUCCGGCCGACCUGCAGCUGGGGGAGGUCUCAAACUACAGCUGGAGGAGGUCUCGACCUGCAGCUUGCCGCGUCUGCCGCUGCCGCCGAGGUCCACCACAUACACUCGAUGUUGCGGCAACCACCCCCACCACUGUCCGUUGCCGAUGCGUGCAACCACGUCCAGCCACCCACUGGACGUGGGCACAGAGGCAGGGCCAUGCCGAGGGAGCUCGAGCUCAACCACCCACAGCUGGUUCCCCUGCAGGUUGCAGCGGAAAAACAAAAUGCAGAAGUUCAAAGAUGA